rnacentral:rRNA from 1 species
GACGAACGCUGGCGGCGUGCUUAACACAUGCAAGUCGAACGGGUCUGCCCUGUUUUUUGCGGGGUGGGUCAGUGGCGAACGGGUGAGUAACACGUGAGUAACCUGCCCCUCACUUCUGGAUAACCGCUUGAAAGGGUGGCUAAUACGGGGUGUUCUGGCUGUGCCGCAUGGUGUGGCUGGGAAAGAUUCACUUUUGUGGUGUUUUGGUGGGGGAUGGGCUCGCGGCCUAUCAGCUUGUUGGUGGGGUGAUGGCCUGCCAAGGCUUUGACGGGUAGCCGGCCUGAGAGGGUGGGCGGUCAUACUGGGACUGAGAUACGGCCCAGACUCCGGCGGGCGGCAGCAGUGGGGGGUAGUGCACAAUGGGCGGAAGCCUGAUGCAGCGACGUCGCGUGAGGGAUGGAGGCCUUCGGGUUGUGAACCUCUUUCGCCGGUGAAGAAGGUCCUGCUCUUUGUGGUGGGGUUGACGGUAGCCGGGUUAUGAAGCGCCGGCUAACUACGUG